rnacentral:rRNA from 1 species
AACUAAAUGUGCACGCAAAUAAAAGCAGCGUAGGCUUAGAAGCAGUCAUCGACUAGAAAGCGUAGUAGCUCUGCUUUUUAGUGUAACAUUACACUACACGCAGAAAAUAAAAGCCGAAGCUCGCUUGUUAAUACAGUUAAAUAU